AUGGAAUGAAUGGUGCAAAAUCCUGCAUUCUGAGCAUUUCCAAAAAGCUUGACAAUGUUUAAAAUUUGGACACUUUUCAUAUAAAUUCAAAUAAAGUUGUUAAAAAAAGACAUUUACUUACACCAACUUGAAUUUUUAACAACUUUAUUUGAAUUUAUAUGUCAGAUAAACAUCCAAAUAAAAAUUUGAGUAUGCCGCCAGAAC
rnacentral:lncRNA from 1 species